rnacentral:rRNA from 1 species
AUUGAACGCUGGCGGCAUGCCUUACACAUGCAAGUCGAACGGCAGCACGGGAGCAAUCCUGGUGGCGAGUGGCGAACGGGUGAGUAAUAUAUCGGAACGUGCCCGGUCGUGGGGGAUAACGUAGCGAAAGCUACGCUAAUACCGCAUACGAUCUACGGAUGAAAGCGGGGGAUCGCAAGACCUCGCGCGAUUGGAGCGGCCGAUAUCAGAUUAGGUAGUUGGUGAGGUAAAGGCUCACCAAGCCGACGAUCUGUAGCUGGUCUGAGAGGACGACCAGCCACACUGGGACUGAGACACGGCCCAGACUCCUACGGGAGGCAGCAGUGGGGAAUUUUGGGCAAUGGGCGCAAGCCUGAUCCAGCAAUGCCGCGUGCAGGAUGAAGGCC